rnacentral:rRNA from 1 species
GACGAACGCUGGCGGCGUGCUUAACACAUGCAAGUCGAACGGAAAGGCCCUGCUUUUGUGGGGCGCUCGAGUGGCGAACGGGUGAGUAACACGUGAGUAACCUGCCCUUGACUUUGGGAUAACUUCAGGAAACUGGGGCUAAUACCGGAUAGGAGCUCCUGCUGCAUGGUGGGGGUUGGAAAGUUUCGGCGGUUGGGGAUGGAGGCUGGGCUUAUGAGCUUGUUGGUGGGGUAGUGGCUUACCAAGGCUUUGACGGGUAGCCUGCCUGAGAGGGUGAACGGCCACAUUGGGACUGAGAUACGGCCCAGACUCCUACGGGAGGCAGCAGUGGGGAAUAUUGCACAAUGGGCGGAAGCCUGAUGCAGCAACGCCGCGUGCGGGAUGACGGCCUUCGGGUUGUAAACCGCUUUCGCCUGUGACGAAGCGUGAGUGACGGUAAUGGGUAAAGAAGCACCGGCUAACUACGUG